rnacentral:lncRNA from 1 species
AGGAGAGAGGGACUGAGAUCUUAGCUCUGCCCAGGUCAUCUCAGAAGGGGAGAGGGCUCCUCUGCUCUCCAGGGGCAUAUUUCACCCAUCGAGGUCACAGACUUCUUCCUUGGGAGGGGUUUACAUGGUCACUGAGUCCCUUUCUCUACCUUGCUGCAUCAGCACCAAGUCCACCCCUGGCAUCGAAAGAUGGCAGCUUAUGGAAGCUUCUGGGAGUCCCCGUCCCUGAGGGAGGGGCAUUUCCUUGGAGGCGGCUGGGCCUGAGCAGUGUUGGAUGUCGGGGACUGAGUGGGAUGCCCCUAUAUCUGGCCUCCCUUGGCGAUAAGCAGAGCAGAGCAGAGCAGCCUGCACGGUGGUCAGGCAACCCCUCCCUGUGAUGCGGGCUUUGCAAGGUGGGGAGUCAAAAGAAAAAUUUCUUGGACUCUCAAGGUCUGGUAGUAGUGCUCCUUUAUUCAGAGAAUAGCAUGGGGACAGGAGUGGUGGGCAGUGAGAGCUGCAGGUGUGGGGACAGGACCCGUGGGCAGUGAGACCUGCAGGCAUGGGGACAGGACCCGUGGGCAGUGAGACCUGCAGGCAUGGGGACAGGACCUGUGGGCCUGAAGAGCUGCAAUGGGUUGAGAGUAGAGCUUAUUUAUAAGGCAUAGGCAUGUGAGUUAUUUCUUUACAAGACAAAGGAAAGGUCAAGUGAGAAAAGUUGUUGAAAUGGUAUCUGUGCAGCUGGGGUUGGUUAUCGGAUGGUCCUAUAACUUUGGAUACAAAUCAGGUCGGAUUAGGUCAGGACAUCCUAGACUGCCUGGAGGAUGACAUAGAUGCCAUGUAGGCAGGACGCCUUGGGCUUCUCUCCCUGGGGAGUCUUGAUCCUCAUCACCUGGAUGUCGUCUGGGGGACGCCAGUGCGCUGGCGUGCUCUGAGGAUCAGCAGCUGGUUUCCAAGCCCCAUCUUCUCACAUCUCUGAAUAUCCUCCCUGUUAAGAAAACAAAAGAACAUGUGGCAUCUUGGAGUCCCCACCUGCACCUUGGAGAUGUGGAAUCCAAUCCUCUCCUGGCCAGAGGCAAGGAGCAGAGAAGAGAAGGAGCUUGCUCGAGGCCGAACCAGAUGGGGUCUUCCUCUUCUGCCCUGCUCAGAAAACUGAGGCUCAGGAUGCAUGCACGACUAGGGCUCUCCCCGGUCAAGACUUAAGGGUGGCCAUCAGCCUCUGUGGCGGAGGAGCUGUGGCUGCUGCUCUGCUUGGGUUGGGUGAGUCCUCUUCCUUCUCUGGGGGCGGGUGGGUUGAUGUGUUGACGUCUCUGCCUUGUUUGCUACUGUGUCUUGUCUUCGCAGGCUGUCCUAGGGGUCACUUGGAAAGCACCACACAGCCCCCUCCCCACCCCAGACCGCUCCCUGGGAGUGGGGUGGUAGGAACUUGUUUGGUGAUGGCAGCAAACAACACAUGCACUUCCCACUCAUGUGCUUGUGGUCCGGGGGGGAGGGGAGGGAGCCGUCCCGGGCUCCAGAGAAGGAGAGAGGCAGUGCAUUUGGUGCGUAUCCCCUGGCUCCCAAGCUGCAGUGUGCAAGAAUGGGGGUGACAGGAAAGCAGGAGACCUUUUCUCCAGGAGUUCCCGUGCCCCUUAGGAAGAGACUGUAGCCCGAGAGGGGCUCACGGGGCGCCUGACCCUGGCCUGGAACACUCCCCUCGGGCUUGCUGUGAUUCUGUUUACCAACAAGUGGGAAGGAGCCUAUUGUAGUCGGGGUGAAGAAUCGGAAAGAAAUCGGUGAAUAGGAGCUCAGGAGCCAAGACACUGGGCUCAGAGACAAUAGAUAGGAAGCGAGGGGUGUGGGAAGGGAGGUCUAGUCUGGAAAGGCUGAGGAGAAAACCAGGUGGGGGCAGAAAGGGGCCAUUUCUGGUCAGAUUUCUGCAGCAGGUCUGCCUCCCCCACGCAUGGAGCUGCCAGGCCCGGUGUUUAUGGAAUGUAUUCCUUGUGCACGCUCUUGUGGGGAGUGUGAGGGGGUUUAGCAGGGUGUCAGACACCCAGCACCAAUCCCACAGGGCUUGUCGGGGAGGGGUGCUUUGCAGUCAGGCUGAGUUUGAAUUUCCAUUCUGCCUCUUGCUGUGUGGCCUUGGACAAAGAAUAUAACGUCUCUGAGUUCUUUACAAUUGGGGCAGUGCCCCCCUCAUCGAGCUACUGUGGGGAUUAAAGGUGAUAACGUGUGCAGUGCCGAGGGCCAGCCUAAGGUCCUGCACAGUGUCCUGCAAAUGGUGGCUCAGUGGUUCUCUGCAGCCUGGACCUCAGGGUCUUACUUAGAAGCAGGGGAGACCACCGUCUGCACUGGGCACAGGCCUGCCUGGACGCAGGGGCUUGGACUGAAGGAUGGAGGAAUCUUGGGGCCUUUGGAAUACUGAAUUCUGCCAGUUUCACAUCUUUCUCUACCUCCCAUAAUCUGUGCAGGGAUGAUGGCCCGAUCUGCUGACUUUCAGAAGGGCCCUAUUUUCAGACUGACUUGUUCAAAGGGGUAGCAUCU